AACAAACGCUGGCGGCAUGCCUAACACAUGCAAGUCGAACGAGACCUUCGGGUCUUGUGGCGCACGGGUGCGUAACGCGUGGGAACCUGCCCUUAGGUUCGGAAUAACUCCCCGAAAGGGGUGCUAAUACCGGAUAAUGUCUUCGGACCAAAGAUUUAUGGCCUGUGGAUGGGCCCGCGUUGGAUUAGCUAGUUGGUAGGGUAAAAGCCUACCAAGGCGACGAUCCAUAGCUGGUCUGAGAGGAUGAUCAGCGAGACUGGGACUGAGACACGGCCCAGACGCCUACGAGAGGCAGCAGUGGGGAAUAAAGGACAAUGGGCGAGAGCCUGAUCCAGCAAGGCCGGGAGAAUGAUGAAGGGGUUAGGAUUGUAAAGCUCUUGUACCCGGGAUGAUGAUGACGGAACGGGGAGAAUAGGCUCCGGCAAACUCCGU
rnacentral:rRNA from 1 species